UACAGAGGUCCCAAGCGUUGUUCGGAUUCACUGGGCGUAAAGGGUGCGUAGGUGGCCAGGUAAGUUUGGUGUGAAAGCUCGGAGCUUAACUCCGAAAAGUCAUUGAAUACUAUCUGGCUGGAGGGUCGGAGGGGAGACUGGAAUUCUCGGUGUAGCAGUGAAAUGCGUAGAUAUCGAGAGGAACACCAGUGGCGAAGGCGAGUCUCUGGACGACUCCUGACACUGAGGCACGAAAGCUAGGGGAGCAAACAGGAGUUAG
rnacentral:rRNA from 1 species